rnacentral:rRNA from 1 species
UUGAACUGAAGAGUUUGAUCAUGGCUCAGAUUGAACGCUGGCGGCAGGCCUAACACAUGCAAGUCGAGCGGUAGAGAGGUGCUUGCACCUCUUGAGAGCGGCGGACGGGUGAGUAAUGCCUAGGAAUCUGCCUGGUAGUGGGGGAUAACGCUCGGAAACGGACGCUAAUACCGCAUACGUCCUACGGGAGAAAGCAGGGGACCUUCGGCCUUGCGCUAUCAGAUGAGCCUAGGUCGGAUUAGCUAGUUGGUGGGGUAAUGGCUCACCAAGGCGACGAUCCGUAACUGGUCUGAGAGGAUGAUCAGUCACACUGGAACUGAGACACGGUCCAGACUCCUACGGGAGGCAGCAGUGGGGAAUAUUGGACAAUGGGCGAAAGCCUGAUCCAGCCAUGCCGCGUGUGUGAAGAAGGUCUUCGGAUUGUAAAGCACUUUAAGUUGGGAGGAAGGGCAUUAACCUAAUACGUUAGUGUUUUGACGUUACCGACAGAAUAAGCACCGGCUAACUCUGUGCCAGCAGCCGCGGUAAUACAGAGGGUGCAAAGCGUUAAUCGGAAUUACUGGGCGUAAAGCGCGCGUAGGUGGUUUGUUAAGUUGGAUGUGAAAGCCCCGGGCUCAACCUGGGAACUGCAUUCAAAACUGCAAGCUAGAGUAUGGUAGAGGGUGGUGGAAUUUCCUGUGUAGCGGUGAAAUGCGUAGAUAUAGGAAGGAACACCAGUGGCGAAGGCGACCACCUGGACUGAUACUGACACUGAGGUGCGAAAGCGUGGGAGCAAACAGGAUUAGAUACCCUGGUAGUCACGCCGUAAACGAUGUCAACUAGCCGUUGGGAGCCUUGAGCUCUUAGUGGCGCAGCUAACGCAUUAAGUUGACCGCCUGGGGAGUACGGCCGCAAGGUUAAAACUUCAAAUGAAUUGACGGGGGCCCGCACAAGCGGUGGAGCAUGUGGUUUAAUUCGAAGCAACGCGAAGAACCUUACCAGGCCUUGACAUCCAAUGAACUUUCCAGAGAUGGAUUGGUGCCUUCGGGAACAUUGAGACAGGUGCUGCAUGGCUGUCGUCAGCUCGUGUCGUGAGAUGUUGGGUUAAGUCCCGUAACGAGCGCAACCCUUGUCCUUAGUUACCAGCACGUAAUGGUGGGCACUCUAAGGAGACUGCCGGUGACAAACCGGAGGAAGGUGGGGAUGACGUCAAGUCAUCAUGGCCCUUACGGCCUGGGCUACACACGUGCUACAAUGGUCGGUACAGAGGGUUGCCAAGCCGCGAGGUGGAGCUAAUCCCACAAAACCGAUCGUAGUCCGGAUCGCAGUCUGCAACUCGACUGCGUGAAGUCGGAAUCGCUAGUAAUCGCGAAUCAGAAUGUCGCGGUGAAUACGUUCCCGGGCCUUGUACACACCGCCCGUCACACCAUGGGAGUGGGUUGCACCAGAAGUAGCUAGUCUAACCUUCGGGGGGACGGUUACCACGGUGUGAUUCAUGACUGGGGUGAAGUCGUAACAAGGUAGCCGUAGGGGAACCUGCGGCUGGAUCACCUCCUUAAU